CCUACGGGAGGCAGCAGUAAGGAAUAUUGGUCAAUGGGACGAAAGUCUGAACCAGCCAUGCCGCGUGAAGGAUGAAGGCCCUCUGGGUUGUAAACUUCUUUUAUAGGGGACGAAAAAAGGGAAUUCUUUCCCACUUGACGGUACCCUAGGAAUAAGCACCGGCUAACUCCGUGCCAGCAGCCGCGGUAAUACGGAGGGUGCAAGCGUUAUCCGGAUUUACUGGGUUUAAAGGGUGCGUAGGUGGGCAGUUAAGUCAGUGGUGAAAUCUCCGAGCUUAACUCGGAAACUGCCAUUGAUACUAUCUGUCUUGAAUAUCCUGGAGGUGAGCGGAAUACGUCAUGUAGCGGUGAAAUGCUUAGAUAUGACAUAGAACACCAAUUGCGAAGGCAGCUCACUACGGGAUUAUUGACACUGAGGCACGAAAGCGUGGGGAUCAAACAGGAUUAGAUACCCUGGUAGUCCACGCCCUAAACUAUGGAUACUCGACAUCAGCGACACACUGUUGGUGUCUGGGCGAAAGCAUUAAGUAUCCACCUGGGAAGUACGAUCGCAGAUUGAACUCAAGAAUUGACGGCUGAGAGNGCGAGACGACACGAGGGAGGAGG
rnacentral:rRNA from 1 species